GGAUUUCAGUGUUAGCUGCCCUCUCUCCUUGCUCAGCGCUGUGCAAAAAGAAAGUUCCUACUUUCUUCCACCACCCCUGGUGUCAGAGAUUGGCUUGCUGCGCGACGGGACACAAUUGGAAACACUGGUUAUAUUACCAAGACUUUGACUGGAAUAUCAUAUUUAAAAAGAACAUACAGGCUUGGAUAUAACACGACAGCUUUUGAGGAAUGAAGGUUGACAUUCUGGAAUAAAGCCACUUGGAAAUAUUGGCCUGAAAAACUUCUUAUUAAAUACCUGGUUACUUACUUACAUGAUACAGGCCCACCUUCAGGAGCCCGCCAGCAUCACUGCCUUAUUAAAAGACUGGUUCAAUGAGAGGAAACAACCUACGCCCCAUUUCAGCAGGAAGUAGCUAGAUUGGUCGCCGCCCCAAAUCCCUCAAGAUUGAGGGACGGACAUAAAAUAGGGGGGAGUUGAUAUCGACCCUGAUAUCAGUUUCCCCACACUAAACCCAGCAUAUAUGGGGUUAAAACCAAAACACUCAUUCCCUGCUUACUCUCUGGCUUCCUGGCUCCAGAAUCCACUAUGCUGCAUGGAGACAGACACCGUCAAGGACAAGCACCUGGACUAUCUCCUCCCCACAAAGAGAUACAGACUGGUGGGAAAGCUUCUGACCAGCAAGGUCAUGAGCUCCCUCCUCUCUGCAAGUGUCUCAAGGCCAAAGACAGGCUGGUGGGAAAGCUCCGACCAGCAAGGCCCUAUGCUCCCCCUCCCCUACCGAAAACCCCAAAUAAAAACCCUUCCUUUUAGCUUUUUCGGGGAGUUUGGGAUUUCAGUGUUAGCUGCCCUCUCUCCUUGCUCAGUGCUGUGCAAAAAAGAAAGUUCCUACUUUCUUCCACCACCCCUGGUGUCAGAGAUUGGCUUGCUGCAUGAUGGGUGAGUGAACUCACUUCAGGUUCGGUAACAUUUCUAAAUAUCAGACCAUCUACAAGGCUGAUUUGGUGGAUAAGGUGAAUCCACAUUUAUUCAACAAUUAGGGUGCUGUGUUAUAAAUGUUGUGUUUAAGCCAGGUAUGUAAGAACAAAUAAUUAUUUGGAACACGUUUUUUUAAUAGUGAAAGACAAAAAGAAGAAAGGAGGGGGCCCCCUUAAGAAUUGUAAAGAUUGAAAUGUUUUGAAUUACAGGACACUCUCAGGAUUAUUCAUAACAUAGUAAAGUAAUAAUUUUUAUUUUGA
rnacentral:lncRNA from 1 species